GGGUAACCUGCCCUAUGCUGGGGAAUAACCUCGGGAAACUGAGAAUAAUGCCCCAUAGUCCACCAUGCCUGGAACGGUUGGUGGAUCAAAGCUCCGGCGGCAUAGGAUGGGCCUGCGGCGUAUCAGGUCGUAGGGGGUGUAACGUACCCUCUAGCCAUCGACGCGUACGGGUGUUGGGAGACAUAGCCCGGAGAUGGAUUCUGAGACACGAAUCCAGACCCUACGGGGUGCAGCAGGCGCGAAAACUUGGCAAUGCGAGAAAUCGUGACCAGGGAACUCCAAGUGGCUGGGGUAAGACCCAGUCUUUUCUUGACUCUUCAAAGGUCUUGGAAUAAGGGGUGGGUAAGGACGGUGACAGCCGCCGCGGUAAUACCGGCGCCUCAAGUGGUAGUCGAUUUUAUUGGGCCUAAAACGUCCGUCGCCUGUUAGGUACAUUCGUGGGUAAAUCAACCAGCUCAACUGGUUGAAUUCUGCGAGCACGGCCAGACUUGGGACCGGGAGAGGUGUGGGGUACGCUCAGGGUAGGGGUAAAAUCCUGUCAUCCUGAGCGGACCACCUGUUGCGAAGGCUCCACACUAGAACGGAUCCGACGGUCAGGGACGAAGCCUAGGGGCACGAACCGGAUUAGAUACCCGGGUAGUCCUAGGUGUAAACGCUGUGGACUUGGUGUUGGGAAGGUUCCGAGCCUUCUCAGUGCCGAAGCGAAGGUGAUAAGUCCACUGCCUGGGGAGUACGGUCGCAAGGCUGAAACUU
rnacentral:rRNA from 1 species